GAGGCUCGAAGGCGAUCAGAUACCGCCCUAGUUCUAACCAUAAACGAUGCCAGCCAGCGAUCCGGCUGUGUUCCUCAAAUGACACGCCGGGCAGCUUCCGUGAAAACACAAGCUUUUGGGUUCCGGGGGAAGUAUGGUUGCAAAGCUUAAACUUAAAGGAAUUGACGGAAGGGCACCACAAGCCAUGGAGCAUGCGGUUCAAUUUGACUCAACACGGGAAAUCUUAUCCGGCCCGGACACAGGAAGGAUUGACAGAUUAAGAGCUCUUUCUUGAUUCUGUGAGUGGUGGUGCAUGGCCGUUCUUAGUUGGUGGAGUGAUUUGUCUGCUUAAUUGCGAUAACGAACGAGACUCUAGCCUACUAAAUAGACGUUCCGAUCCUCUUAGUCGGACGCUCUUCUUAGGGGGACAGGCGGCGACUAGCCGCACGAGACAGAGCAAUAACAGGUCUGUGAUGCCCUCAGAUGUCUGGAGCCACACGCGCGCUACAUUGAAGGAAUCAGCGUGUGCUUUCCCUGUCCGACAGGACUGGGUAACCCGUUGAACCUCCUUCGUGCUGGGGAUAGGGGCUUGCAAUUCUUCCCCUUGAACGAGGAAUGCCUAGUAAGCACGAGUCAUCAAUUCGUGUUGAUUAGGUCCCUGCCCUUUGUACACACCGCCCGUCGCUAUAAGCGAUUGAAUGGUUUAGUGAGGUCUUCGGACUGGCGCUCGAAUUGGCCUUCCGGUCGAGUCGACGUGCCGGAAAGAUGACCAAACUUGAUCAUUUAGAGCAUAU
rnacentral:rRNA from 1 species